rnacentral:rRNA from 1 species
GCACUUAUCGGUGGAUGUCUUGGCUCCGGGAUCGAUGAAGACCGUGGCUAAACACGAUAAUCAAUGGAAAUUGCAGAAGCAAGAGACUCAUCAGGUCGUCGAACGCAUCUGUGAGCGGGUUUCGGCCUUGCUCAUGGGUGCUUGAGUGUCGUUUAAAAAUCUAAUCCAUCUUCGUGAUGGGAACUGGCCGUGGCUGCUUCGGCGGACUCGGCUUAAGUUCAGGGCUUCGGCCUUAGAGGCCUCGCGGUCUCGUAGGAUUCGCUCUUACGGCUGCAAGGGACUCUUUAUCUUACCGACCUCAGCGAUCCAAGAUCUACGCGCUGAACUUAAGCAUAUCACUAAGCGCUGGAAAAGAAAGCAACAGCGAUUCCCUCAGUAACGGCGAGUGAACAGGGAAAAGCCCAACCCUGAAUCGUCAAGGGUGUGUGCCUUUGUCGAAUUGUAGGUCAAGCCUCCAUUGGCGAGCAGCAGCACUCUCCUAAGUCUCCUGGAAUGGGGUGUCCAAAGAGGGUGAGAGCCCCGUAAGGCGAGUGAACUGUCUGUCACCACGCUCAUGGACGGCAAGAGUCGUUCAGUUUGGGAGUGCUGAACAAAUCGGCAGGUGUCCCUCUGCUAAGGCUAAAUAUUGCCCGGAGACCGAUAGCGAACAAGUACAGUGAUGGAAAGAUGCAAAGAACUUUGAAAAGAGAGUUAAAAGUCCCUGAAACCGAUGAGUGGUAAGAGUACGGAGCGCGCCAAAUCCUCUUGAGUUACGAAAGUUGCUCUUGAGUCGUCUGCACAGGCUAGCCCCGACUACUGCCUGUUACUGAUCAGUCUCAGGUGUGCAGAUUGGGGAUGGUUUGUAACAGGGAUAGGCUCGAAUCGGACUGACUUUCCUUGCUGGGUAAGGACGACUCAGCUUGCUGGGGUGUUCUUCUUGGCGUAGGUGGAGUAACAAGGUUUGCGGCCGAUGGACUGGUUGUAGACAAAGCGAUUACGCACUACCCGUCUUGAAACACGGACCAAGGAGUCUAACACGUGCGCAAGCCUUAGGGUGUUAAACCCAUAAGGCGUACUGAAAGGGAGACGUGUCAACCCCUGAGGGUGCAACACGGCCCGGUCCUGAUUUUAUCGAGAAAGGGAUCUGAGGUUAAGUGCACUUGUUGGGACCCGAAAGAUUGUGAACUAUGCCUGGAUAGGACGAAGCCGGGGGAAACCUCGGUGGAGGUCCGUUGCGGUGUUGACGUGCAAAUCGCUCGUCAAAGCUGGGUAUAGGGGCGAAAGACCCAUCGAACCAUCUAGUAGCUGGUUCCCUCCGAAGUUUCCCUCAGGAUAGCUGGAACCAAAAUAGGAGUUGCGCCAGGUAAAGCGAAUGAUUGGAGGCAUUGGGGAAAUCGUUUCCUCGACCUAUUCUCAAACUUUAAAUGGGCGCGAACCCGGGGUUACUUCAUUGAACCCUGGAGCAGAAUCCUGGUUCUAAGUGGGCCACUUCUGGUAAGCAGGACUGGCGACGCGGGAUGAACCGAGAGCUGACUUAAGGUGUCCGAGUGUUCGCUCAUCAGAUCCCACAAAGGGUGUCGGUUCAUCUAGACAGCAGGACGGUGGCCAUGGAAGUCGGCAUCCGAUAAUGAGUGUGUAACAACUCACCUGCCGAAUGAACCGGUCCCGAAAAUGGAUGAUGCUCAAGCGAUCCACCCAUAGUCGGCCGUGCUCCGGUAUUGAAAAGCCGUGGCAUGAGUAGGAGUGCGUGAUGCACGCUGCGAAGGUGUUGGCGUGAGCCUCACUGAAGCGUGCAUUAGUGCAGAUCUUGGUUGUAGUAGCGAAUAUUCAAUGGAGAACAUUGAAGGCCGAAGUGGAGAAGGUUUCCGUGUCAACAGCAGUUGGACACGGGUCAGUCGGUCCUAAGGCAAGGUGUAAUUGCUCGCCUCAAAGCUGAUAGUGACAACUUCGGUUGUUUCUACAGGUUUGCCGAAAGGGAAUGCGUGAACAUUCCGCAACCUGGCUGCAGGGAAAUGAAGCGGCAACGCAGUGACGAUCCUGGAGACCGUGUCCACAGGCCCCGGAUGACGCCGUCGUCUCUUUUUGAAGGAUUGGUUGACCCUUGAAAAGCUUCACGCUGGGACAGGGUUCACUAUCCUGGAAAGCUGCACUCCUUUCGUGCAGUAGGGUGUCUUGUGGAUGCGCCUGGAAAAUCCAGGGGAGAUCUCUUUCCUUUGCACCGGUCCGUACCGUUAACCGCAAUCGGUCUCCUAGGCUAAAAGCCUCUGGCCGACAGAACAAUGUAGGUAAGGGAAGUCGGCAAAAUAGAUCCGUAACUUCGGGAAAAGGAUUGGCUCCGAGGCUGCAUGCAGGCGUCGGUGUGGAUAGUGUAGAGGGUUCAGGUGAUGAGUGGCUGCGUGAGGCGCUUUCGGGUGCCACGCGCGGCUCUCUGAUCCUUCCUCUUACUUCCGCAUGCUGUGCCUUCAAUGAAGCAGCGACUUGGAACUGUUACGAACAAGGGGAAUCUAACUGGUUAAUUAAACCAUAGCAUUUCGCUUCAUCACAGCGGUGGCGAGUGGAAUGUGACUUCUGCCCAGUGCCCUGAAUGUCAACGCUGAGAGAUCAGGUCAAGCGCGGGUAAACGGCGGGAGUAACUAUGACUCUCUUAAGGUAGCCAAAUGCCUCGUCUUCUAAUUAAAGACGCGCAUGAAUGGACCAAUGAGAUUCCUUCUGUCCCUACCUACUAUCUGGCGAAACAGCAGUCAAGGGAACGGACUUGAAACUGUCAGCGGGGAAAGAAGACCCUGUUGAGUUUGACUCUAGUCUGACUUUGUGCAGUGACAUGAGAGGUGUAGUAUAGGUGGGAGGCUUGCCAACAAUGAAAUA